rnacentral:rRNA from 1 species
GCAUCUGGUGGAUGCCUUGGCGACAACAGGCGAUGAAGGACGUUGUAGCUUGCGAUAAGCCGCGGUUAGCCAGCAAACAGGCUCUGACCCGCGGAUUUCCGAAUGGGAAAACCCACCGCACUUGUGCGGUAUCCCUACCUGAAUACAUAGGGUAGUGGAGGCGAACCCGGGGAACUGAAACAUCUAAGUACCCGGAGGAAAAGAAAUCAACCGAGAUUCCCUAAGUAGCGGCGAGCGAACGGGGACCAGCCGAAUCAGUGUGGUGUAGUGGAAGGCUCUGGAAAGUGCCGGCACAGAGGGUGAUACCCCCGUACGCGAAACACCGCAUUGGACACAUUAAGUAGGGCGGGGCACGUGAAACCUUGUCUGAACAUGGGGGGACCAUCCUCCAAGGCUAAAUACUCGUUGUCGACCGAUAGUGAACCAGUACCGUGAGGGAAAGGCGAAAAGAACCCCGGCGAGGGGAGUGAAAUAGAACCUGAAACCGGAUGCGUACAAGCAGUAGGAGCCCUUCGGGGUGACUGCGUACCUUUUGUAUAAUGGGUCAGCGACUUAAUGUCAGUAGCGAGCUUAACCGUAUAGGGGAGGCGUAGGGAAACCGAGUCUUAAUAGGGCGAAUUAGUUGCUGGCAUUAGACCCGAAACCCGGUGAUCUAUCCAUGGCCAGGUUGAAGAUGCCGUAACAGGCAUUGGAGGACCGAACCCACAAAUGUUGAAAAAUUUGGGGAUGAGCUGUGGAUAGGGGUGAAAGGC